AGAGUUUGAUCCUGGCUCAGAUUGAACGCUGGCGGCAUGCCUAACACAUGCAAGUCGAACGGCAGCGGGUCCUUCGGGAUGCCGGCGAGUGGCGGACGGGUGAGUAAUGCAUCGGGACCUGCCCAGACGUGGGGGAUAACAUAGGGAAACUUACGCUAAUACCGCAUACGUCCUACGGGAGAAAGCAGGGGACCUUCGGGCCUUGCGCGGUUGGAUGGACCGAUGUGCGAUUAGCUAGUUGGCGGGGUAAUGGCCCACCAAGGCGACGAUCGCUAGCUGGUCUGAGAGGAUGAUCAGCCACACUGGGACUGAGACACGGCCCAGACUCCUACGGGAGGCAGCAGUGGGGAAUAUUGGACAAUGGGCGCAAGCCUGAUCCAGCAAUGCCGCGUGUGUGAAGAAGGCCUUCGGGUUGUAAAGCACUUUUAUCAGGAACGAAACACUGUCGGUUAAUACCCGGCGGGACUGACGGUACCUGAGGAAUAAGCACCGGCUAACUUCGUGCCAGCCGCCGCGGUAAUAC
rnacentral:rRNA from 1 species